ACCAAAUCUGAUUUUGUUGAUUUUUCUGUGUAGGUUAGAAAAUAGGAGGCAACUGAUGAAGAUGAUGCUUCUCUUCGAUUAUUUUGAAGGAUUUUUGGUGUUUGGUCUGAUUGGAACAAGUCAGGUUAGUGAUGAACUGGAACACAUGAUUGGACAGAUUGAGACUAUGCAGAAUCGUCAUGGGAUGGUCCUUGAAUCCAUACAGGGCGACAUCAUGCAAGAGUGCGUCGUGAUUAUUAUGGCCUGAUGGAUGGACAGUUGUUACUGCAUAUGGAAAACAUAAUGCUCAGUUUGAACACACACUUCUGGUUUACACGGUGUUCCAACUAGUUUUAGUUGUUGCUGCUCUUCUGCAACCAAAAUUUGGC